rnacentral:rRNA from 1 species
UGGGGAAUAUUGGACAAUGGGGGGAACCCUGAUCCAGCCAUGCCGCGUGUGUGAAGAAGGCCUUAUGGUUGUAAAGCACUUUAAGCGAGGAGGAGGGUACUGGUAUUAAUACUACCAGCUACUGGACGUUACUCGCAGAAUAAGCACCGGCUAACUCUGUGCCAGCAGCCGCGGUAAUACAGAGGGUGCGAGCGUUAAUCGGAUUUACUGGGCGUAAAGCGUGCGUAGGCGGCUAAUUGAGUCGGAUGUGAAAUCCCCGAGCUUAACUUGGGAAUUGCAUUCGAUACUGGUUAGCUAGAGUGUGGGAGAGGAUGGUAGAAUUCCAGGUGUAGCGGUGAAAUGCGUAGGUAUAGGAAGGAACACCAGUGGCGAAGGCGACCACCUGGGCUCAUACUGACACUGAGGUGCGAAAGCGUGGGGAGCAAACAGG